UACAGAGGGGGCAAGCGUUAUUCGGAAUUAUUGGGCGUAAAGGGCGCGUAGGCGGCUUGGCAAGUGGAAGGUGAAAUCCCUCGGCUUAACCGAGGAACUGCCCUCCAAACUGCUUCGCUUGAGACCGGGAGAGGUGAGUGGAAUUCCCAGUGUAGCGGUGAAAUGCGUAGAUAUUGGGAGGAACACCAGCGGCGAAGGCGGCUCACUGGACCGGUACUGACGCUGAUGCGCGAAAGCGUGGGGAGCAAACGGGG
rnacentral:rRNA from 1 species